rnacentral:snRNA from 1 species
CACAAUGAACGAACCAAAGUAUACUGAUAU